ensembl:lncRNA
ACAGGGUCUUGCUCGGGUCAGGCUGGCCUUGAACUCAAUGGUAAUCCUGCCUCAGCCUUGGAGUCCUGAGAUUGCAGGCCCUACUAGCAUCUCCCUGAAUUUAAACAGAAGCUUCCGCAAAGAAGUCUGGGAAUAUCACUGGCCAGCUUCUAACCCUGCUGUUACAGAGAACUUGGAAGAGUGGGAAAGGGCUAAGAGCGAGACCCGCUCCUGCGUCAUUUCCUGAGAAUAAGAAGUCUUCGGGAUGGGGAAAGGCAAAAGAACUCUGAAUAUGGGAGAACAGGCACAAGAACAAAAAGACUGGAAGAACUAUAUUACUGGUACAGAUAUGUUGGAGAUGAAACCGGAAGACAUCUUGGAAUCCAUCAACA